rnacentral:rRNA from 1 species
GAUGAACGCUGGCGGCGUGCCUAAUACAUGCAAGUCGAGCGAACAGACGAGGAGCUUGCUCCUCUGACGUUAGCGGAAGACGGGUGUGUAACACGUGGAUAACCCACCUAUAAGACUGGUAUAACUUCGGGAAACCGGCUCUAAUACCGGAGAAUAUAUUGAACCGCAGGGGGGAAUAGUGAAAGACGGUGUUGGUGUAACUAAUAGAUGGAUCCGCGCCGCAUUAGCUAGUUGGGAAGGUAACGGCUUAUCAAGGCUACGAUGCGUAGCCGAGCUGAGGGGGUGAUCGGCCACACUGGAACUGAGACGCGGUCCAGACUCCUACGGGAGGCCGCGGUAGGGACUCUUCCGCAAUGGGCGGAAGCCUGACGGAGCAGCGCCGCGUGAGUGCUGAAGGUCUUCGGAUCGUAAGACUCUGUUAUUAGGGAAGAACAAAUGUGUAAGUAACUAUGCACGUCUUGCCGGUACCUAAUAAGAAAGCCCCGGCUACCUCCGUG